rnacentral:lncRNA from 1 species
GAUCUCUGUGUGCAUGCGAAUAUCUUCAGCCGACUUGUAAAAUGUCCAAACAGCUCCAACUGCUACCUAAGAUGAUAACACGGACGAUAAAGGAAUGAAGGGUAUGUCUGCUUCACUACGAUUGACAAAACUUGCACAUCUACUUUCAAGCUGGUGAAAGCACGACUUCAAGAUGUAAACUAAAAAGGAAGAUGGUAAUUUCCGGCCACAAGUGUCAAAAUCUUAAAAUUAGGGUCGAAGAGAAAUAUACGUCUCCUUGCGGUAAACAGAAUACAGCACGGCAUUUUGCUUCAUAUACGUGUUAUUCAAAAGACAACAACAGUUUAAAGCCAAAGGAACCCAAUCUAACAAAUUGUGUCAGUCUUUGGACAUUGGAAAUUCUCCCCUUUGCUGAUGAAAUACCAUCUAUCAUUUAAUGGAUAUUUAACUAGAACAGAACGGAACAGAAC